CGCGGGUGCACCGCCGACCG
rnacentral:snRNA from 1 species